AAGUAACAAAAUAUUAUAAUGAGAAAAUAUAUAUUUUUGUGUAUGUUUUAGAUGAGUUGUAAGUGUGUAGACAAUACAGAUAUUCUACUGCAAAUAUUGGAUGAAUAAAAGAAACACACAAAAUAUUAUGAAGAAAAAGAAAAAGAAAAAGAGCCAAGUCCAGUUAAAAAGAACCCUACAGGACAGAAGAAAUCAACUUUGACUCAAAAAGCUCAGGAGUUGUACAUCAAGAACAGAGUUAGUAAAGAAGAUGGUGAAGAUGGAGGUGGUGAUGCUGCCCAUGAGCACUACCUAAAGAAAUGGAAGAGCUUAAGUGAAGAAAAGAAGAACAAGUGGAAGAAGAAAGCUGAGAAAGUAGCACAAGAUGUAGCCAAGGCAUCAGCUAAGACAACAGCACCACUUAUAAAGAAGCCAACAAAAGCAUCAGCUUUUCAAGUAUUUAC